rnacentral:rRNA from 1 species
UACGUAGGGUGCAAGCGUUGUCCGGAAUUAUUGGGCGUAAAGAGCUCGUAGGCGGCUUGUCACAUCGGCUGUGAAAACCUGGGGCUCAACCCCGGGCCUGCAGCCGAUACGGGCAGCUAGAAUUCGGUAGGGGAGACUGGAAUUCCUGGUGUAGCGGUGAAAUGCGCAGAUAUCAGGAGGAACACCGGUGGCGAAGGCGGGUCUCUGGGCCGAAAUUGACGCUGAGGAGCGAAAGCGUGGGGAGCGAACAGG